GAUCUUUAUUUUUGUUUUUUAUGGAUAAAAAAGAUUUUAAAAAUUUAUAUUAAAAUUAAAAAUUUUACUGGGGUGGUAUUAAAAUUUAAAAAACUUUUAUUAAUUUUUACAUAAAUAUAUGAGUAGUUGAUCCAGUUUUAUUGAUUAAAAAAUUAAGUUACCUUAGGGAUAACAGCGUAAUUUUUUUUUAGAGUUCAUAUCGAUAAAAAAGAUUGC
rnacentral:rRNA from 1 species